rnacentral:rRNA from 1 species
CCUACGGGAGGCAGCAGUGGGGGAUAUUGCACAAUGGGGGAAACCCUGAUGCAGCGACGCCGCGUGGGCGAAGAAGUAUUUCUGUAUGUAAAGCCCUAUCAGCAGGGAAGAAGACCUUACGGUACCUGAGUACGCAGCACCGGCUAAAUACGUGCCAGCAGCCGCGGUAAUACGUCUGGUGCAAGCGUUAUCCGGAUUUACUGGGUGUAAAGGGAGCGCAGGCGGCACGGCAAGCCUGAUGUGAAAGCCCGCGGCCCAACCGCGGGACUGCAUUGGGAACUACCGGGCUGGAGGGCCGGAGAGGGAGGCGGAAGUCCUAGUGUAGAGGGGAAAUGCGUAGAUAUUAGGAGGAACACCAGUGGCGAAGGCGGCCUACUGGACGGUGACUGACGCUGUGGCUCGAAAGCGUGGGGAGCAAACAGGAUUAGAUACCCGGGUAGUC